UACGUAGGGUGCGAGCGUUGUCCGGAAUUAUUGGGCGUAAAGAGCUCGUAGGCGGUCUGUCGCGUCGGUCGUGAAAACCUGCAGCUUAACUGUGGGCGUGCGGUCGAUACGGGCAUGACUGGAGUUCGGCAGGGGAGACUGGAAUUCCUGGUGUAGCGGUGGAAUGCGCAGAUAUCAGGAGGAACACCGGUGGCGAAGGCGGGUCUCUGGGCAGUAACUGACGCUGAGGAGCGAAAGCGUGGGGAGCGAACAGG
rnacentral:rRNA from 1 species